rnacentral:rRNA from 1 species
AGUGAACGCUGGCGAUAGGCCUAACACAUGCAAGUCGAACGGCAGCACAGUAAGAGCUUGCUCUUACGGGUGGCGAGUGGCGGACGGGUGAGGAAUACAUCGGAAUCUACUUUUUCGUGGGGGAUAACGUAGGGAAACUUACGCUAAUACCGCAUACGACCUACGGGUGAAAGCAGGGGAUCUUCGGACCUUGCGCGAUUGAAUGAGCCGAUGUCGGAUUAGCUAGUUGGCGGGGUAAAGGCCCACCAAGGCGACGAUCCGUAGCUGGUCUGAGAGGAUGAUCAGCCACACUGGAAAUGAGACACGGUCGAGACUACGACGGGAGGCAGCAGGGGGGAAUAUUGAACAAUGGGCGCAAGCCUGAUCCCGCGAUACCGCGUGGGUGAAGGAGGCCGUCGGGUUGUAAAGCCCUUUUGUUGGGAAAGAAAAGCAGCAGGUUAAUACCCCGCUGUUCUGACGGUACCCAAAGAAUAAGCACCGGCUAACU